rnacentral:rRNA from 1 species
GUGCCAGCCGCCGCGGUAAUACGGAAGGUCCGGGCGUUAUCCGGAUUUAUUGGGUUUAAAGGGAGCGCAGGCCGGCUUUUAAGCGUGACGUGAAAUGUAGACGCUCAACGUCUGAAUUGCGUCGCGAACUGGAGGCCUUGAGUGCAUACGACGUGGACGGAAUUCGUGGUGUAGCGGUGAAAUGCUUAGAUAUCACGAAGAACUCCGAUUGCGAAGGCAGUCCACGAGUCUGUAACUGACGCUAAAGCUCGAAAGUGCGGGUAUCGAACAGGAUUAGAUACCCUGGUAGUCCGCACGGUAAACGAUGGAUGCCCGCUGUUGGCGAUACAAUGUCAGCGGCCAAGCGAAAGCGUUAAGCAUCCCACCUGGGGAGUACGCCGGCAACGGUGAAACUCAAAGGAAUUGACGGGGGCCCGCACAAGCGGAGGAACAUGUGGUUUAAUUCGAUGAUACGCGAGGAACCUUACCCGGGCUUGAACUGCAGCAGAACGAUUCAGAGAUGAUGAGGUCCUUCGGGACUGCUGUGGAGGUGCUGCAUGGUUGUCGUCAGCUCGUGCCGUGAGGUGUCGGCUUAAGUGCCAUAACGAGCGCAACCCCUUUCGUCAGUCGCCAUCAGGUUAAGCUGGGCACUCUGGCGACACUGCCACCGUAAGGUGUGAGGAAGGUGGGGAUGACGUCAAAUCAGCACGGCCCUUACGUCCGGGGCUACACACGUGUUACAAUGGGUGAUACAGAGCGUCGGCUGAUGGCAACAUCAGUCCAAUCGUGAAAGUCAUCCUCAGUUCGGAUUGGGGUCUGCAACCCGACCCCAUGAAGCUGGAUUCGCUAGUAAUCGCGCAUCAGCCAUGGCGCGGUGAAUACGUUCCCGGGCCUUGUACACACCGCCCGU